rnacentral:piRNA from 1 species
UUCCAAGUGUCUAUUUCCUAAGCUAUGGA